rnacentral:rRNA from 1 species
AUACGUAGGGGGCGAGCGUUGUCCGGAAUGAUCGGGCGUAAAGGGCGCGUAGGCGGCCCGGUAAGUCUGGAGUGAAAGUCCUGUUUUUAAGAUGGGAAUUGCUUUGGAUACUGUCGGGCUUGAGUGCAGGAGAGGUAAGUGGAAUUCCCAGUGUAGCGGUGAAAUGCGUAGAGAUUGGGAGGAACACCAGUGGCGAAGGCGACUUACUGGACGGUAACUGACGCUGAGGCGCGAAAGUGUGGGGAGCAAACAGGAUUAGAUACCCUGGUAGUCCACACUGUAAACGAUGAAUGCUAGGUGUAGGGGGUAUUGACCCCUUCUGUGCCGCAGUCAACACAAUAAGCAUUCCGCCUGGGGAGUACGGCCGCAAGGUUGAAACUCAAAGGAAUUGACGGGG